rnacentral:rRNA from 1 species
CAGUAGCCGCGGGAACACGAAGGGGGCUAGCGUUGCUCGGAAUAACUGGGCGUAAAGGGCGCGUAGGCGGAUCACGCAGUCAGAUGUGAAAUUCCUGGGCUUAACCUGGGGGCUGCAUUUGAGACGCGUGGUCUAGAGUGUGAAAGAGGGUCGUGGAAUUCCCAGUGUAGAGGUGAAAUUCGUAGAUAUUGGGAAGAACACCGGUGGCGAAGGCGGCGACCUGGUUCAUAACUGACGCUGAGGCGCGAAAGCGUGGGGGGCAAACAGGAUUAGAUACCCCCGUAGUCCCUGUCUCUUAUAC